UACGAAGGGUGCAAACGUUGCGCGGAAUUAUUGGGCGUAAAGCGCACGUAGGCGGCAUUGCAAGUCGGAUGUGAAAUCUUAUGGCUUAACCAUAAAAGUGCAUCCGAAACUGCAGUGCUUGAGUACUUAAGAGGAUCGCGGAAUUCCCGGUGUAGAGGUGAAAUUCGUAGAUAUCGGGAGGAACACCAGUGGCGAAGGCGGCGAUCUGGGAAGAUACUGACGCUGAGGUGCGAAAGCGUGGGGAGCAAACAGG
rnacentral:rRNA from 1 species